rnacentral:rRNA from 1 species
CCUACGGGAGGCUGCAGUGAGGAAUAUUGGUCAAUGGGCGAGAGCCUGAACCAGCCAAGUCGCGUGAGGGAGUACUGCCCUAUGGGUUGUAAACCUCUUUUGUCGGGGAGCAAAAGCCGGACGUGUCCGGCUGUGAGAGUACCCGAAGAAAAAGCAUCGGCUAACUCCGUGCCAGCAGCCGCGGUAAUACGGAGGAUGCGAGCGUUAUCCGGAUUUAUUGGGUUUAAAGGGUGCGCAGGCGGAUUUUUAAGUCAGCGGUAAAAUCGUGGGGCGCAAACCCAUCCAGCCGUUGAAACUGGGGAUCUAGAGUGUGCGAGAGGUAUGCGGAAUGCGUGGUGUAGCGGUGAAAUGCAUAGAUAUCACGCAGAACCCCGAUUGCGAAGGCAGCAUACCGGUGCACAACUGACGCUCAGGCACGAAAGCGUGGGUAUCGAACAGGAUUAGAUACCCUGGUAGUC